CAGGCCUUGAAGUUUGUUUCAUGUGGGAGUUAAAGGAUAAAUCCUGAUCAAAUAUAACUGUAUGUGUAUGUGUGGUCUGUUUAGGAUAGUGGUGCCAGGUUAGAAAAGAGGAUAGUUAGUUUGUAUGCAAGACCCUAUGUCUGUGUGAAAUAUCACUAACAUCAACGUAGCACGUAGCACAUCACAACAAUAAAACUCAAUGAACCAAAUCUAUACAUGUACAUUCACAAAAGUAACACAGUCCUGUGCUUAGCUGUGUACUCUGCUAUUCUAUGUUAUGUCCAGUUAUAUGCUCAGUGGUUACAUUACCAGUCCAUAAAGGAAGAAGUUGCUUUUGCGUGCUGCGUUGUUAUCUAGCGGUUCCGUUGGAUUAGUCAGGUGGGGAAGAAUUGUGGUUCUGGGAAAUGUCCUUGCUCUGCAGUAUUCCGAUUGUGCAGAUGGAUGAAGCUGGUUGCUCCAUCUGUUGUUCUUCUCAGUUAACUCUGCUUCAUUGCUCUUGUUGAAAGUUAGCAGGCAGGCUUUCUUGUUGUAGCUGCUGGCGCUAGCGUUAAUUCAGCUUGAUUGCAGAAACCUUACGCAGGCCCUCACAGUGCUGCUGUAAGAGAGAGAGAGAGAGAGAGUUCAGUUCUGCUGUGUGUCUGCUGGUUAGCAUGCCACACUGGGAGGGAAACAGCCACAGCUGUCUGCUGCAGUGAAGAAUUCCAGGAGAAAGAGAAAGAACAAUGGCCGCUGACCCUUUUCUCAAUCUGACCAAUCAUAACCGAAAGCUGGGUCCAUGGGGGGAGUUCACACCUAGUAGGUGUGAAUACCAAUGGAUUGUGGGAGACUGAGUUCAGUGGCUCUACUUUGUUUACAGAACAAAAGAGCACGCAGUCUCCUAAUAAGUUCAGUUAAAGUCACAAAUGAACAAAUUCGUCUGUCCCAGUGGUCCCAACAACAGACUUACCCAUGUGGACACGAUCAGUAAUAUUUUAUACUUAGUCAGAUAGUUGCAGAUAGUUUCAGUUUGGGGGUUAUUAGAUGUUCUGUCUGAGAUUUCUCCUCUACCCCUAUACAAUGGAGAUGGGUGGAAUUUUAUUUGUGCUUCUCACAGCAUUAAAAAAUUAAGUUUGAAAAACAGCUGCACUGUGUGCUUACAAAAACAACCUCGAGCUGUGCCCCCCCCAGAUUUUUUUCUCACUGCCCCAGACCAGAGCUCUGCCCCAGGUCACAAACACAAACACAACUGCACUCCAAACAGAAACGUUCAUUCUAACAUCUGACUGGCUGAUCAGGAAACAUAAAACUCAGAGACAAACUGCUUCACAAAUCUUUCUUCUUCCGUCUGGCAGGAUGAUCAGGUGGGACAAGUGGCUAUGUGUCAUUUGCAGUAUCAUACUGUCAAGUAGUUUUGCUAAGAAAGGAUAGGAGGGUAAUCUAGGUGUGCUAGACAAACACUAUCAAGACAUAGUGUUGCCUCACCUCUACAGGUUCAUCUUUGGGUGGGGGAGGGGGGGAGUCUAUGUGGAAGUGCAGCACAGCUUUAGCGUUUGUUUGUUUACUUACGUGUGUGCAUGCUAGUGCUACAGCAUGCUUCAUUUGACUAAUGUUACCUCUGUGUCUUUGGUGUGUUAGGCUUACAUUUUAUUAUGUUCUAUUUGUUUUUUGCAAACCACGUACUAUCCUUGACCCGACACUUUGGCCCAAGUGGAAGCACUCCCUCACACCCUCCCGACAACAGUAAAGAUCCGUGGCUAGAGCAGGGAGACCCCGCUUCGGUUGGCAUUGAUUCAGACUAUGGUUUAAAUACAAACACACCGUCUCGGCCUUUGCUGAAAUCGUAUCCAUGAUGAGUUUUUAGCCAGGGUUUUAGUGCUUUUGACCCAAGUUGGUAUUGCUCUCUGCCAUAGCUAGAAUACUCUGUAAAGCAAGAUGCAUGCUUUUGCUUCCCCUGUCAAAAAUUUGGUGCCACCAAUAAUAAAGAUGUUGUGUUGCAAAAUGAGGUUUUAUCCAUUGGAAGUGCAUUGGGAAAGGACAGAGGAUUCGACUAGCAUGCAUGUAACCACUGCAAGAAAGAGGCAACUGAUGAAACAGUAGCCCCUCUGCUAGGACCAAACCAGAUUAAGAAAAGCUGACUCUUACUGUGAUGUGGCAAUGGCAGUACCCACCGUUGACGUCACCAAGGUCUGGACCUCAGUAUUUUUUCCUAGGUGUAUAUAAUAAAAGUUGUGAAAUAAUUGCCAAAAAAUAAUACUUUCGUGCGGCAAAUAUAUUGUACAAUGCCAAGAUUACCGACUUGCUCUUCUGAUCAUUGCUUGUGUGUGGGUCGAUGGUUGGUGAAGUGGAUGAUCUUGUCAUUACUACAAACACUUUACUCAACACGGUGGUUCUUAGAUUAUGUUAACAACCGGACAGGCAGGUGAAUCCAUGCAAAACGUCAUACAGGUAACUAGAGAAUUUUACUUGUGGACUGCUUGUAGUUCAAUGCCAUUCGUCCCCAGACAUCAUAUGACAAAUAGCUCCUGUGCGGUCGUGCUACGUGACCAUUGGCCAUCCAGCAUAAAGCUGGCAAGUUAGUUUCACUUGAAUUAAUUAAUUAGCUAGCUAUCCAGCUAACAUUAAUUCCAUCUAUCCAAUGGUAGACUGAUAAACUUUCAACAAAAGUUGAAAUGCUUUUCUUUCAAUUCAGUUUGUGUAAAGGGUUGAAAUUCAUGUUAAAAUGAAUUAUCCCAAUAUAUUUUUAUUUUCAUUGCAAGAUUAUCUUAGUGGAGGCUGGUAACAUUUACAUAUAAAUAUCAAUUGACCAGUGUUUACUUUCUUCAUUGAGACAGACCAAAAUGAAAAGACUCCGUCAAUCAAAGCUCAGCUUUGGGAAGGGAAGAGAUAUGGGAAAAGAUGAGGUGACUGAAAGGAAAAGAAAGAGAGAAAGUCAUGGAAAAGAGAGAGGAAGAGCAGGUACUGCCCACUGAGUCCAGGAUAUGAUUAGCAUUAUGUCCCUGUGCUGUUCAACUCAAACAAAAACUGACCUGAUCCAAUUAAAACAAUGUAAUUAUCGCAGAGAUAUAUAUGUUAUUUGGUAAUUACAGUGGAACCUAUAGGCUAAAAAAAAGAACACAAACACCUAGCAUAAUUAUAGUGUAAUAAUAUAGUAUUAUUGUAUGAAUAUAUUAUUGUAUAACACACAUUUUGCUUACGUUUAUGUACUGUUUGAGACAGUUUUUAUAAUUCAGUUUCUAAAACCCUGUGUAUGGCCCUGGAUGUAGCAAAAAAUUCUUGGUGAAUUGAGUUUGUAGUUAAAAAUGUUCAUAAUUAAUAAAGUUCAUAUGAAGUUGGGGACUAAGAGUUAUUAGUGGCUGUGGGGAGAAUAAACUCACAAUUAAACAUAUGUAGGGUAGUGUUUUGUUCAAGCACAUUCUCAUUGCAUUUAGAUAACAUACAUGCAUUGAAAUAUAUGUAGACAAAAAUAAAGUUUUUCCAAUCGGCCGUCGCACACCAAGUUACAAAGGGAAGAGAGUUAAAAAAAAAAAAACAUGCACAUGCCUAAAUAUUGUGAUGGGGGAGUUACGCUGAGUGUAGGUACUUGUGCAAGUACUUGUACUUGCGGACGAUGUAACAUGGAGUGUAUGUCUGUAAAAGAAUGGAAACUUCGUUUCUGUUGUCUGCUAGGACCUUGACCAGCCUAGUUAUCCUGAGACACUUUAUGUGUCUCAAUGGGCCAGCACUACAGGUCCUGCAAUAUAUCGUAUUGAAGCAGAUUGUUUCAUUAGGCUGUUAGACGAAUUUAUUUUUCUCAGCGUUUGUGAAGAUAGAGAGAGGGUAACUGCAACCAGAGGGCGUGAAGAAUGGCAAUUACAACCUUACACUCUCACUCUUCAAGAAUAUACCUCAUGGUUUAAAAACAUCUUCUUUAUCCAGUGGUGUGAUAAGAGGGCUCUGAAAAGGGUGUUCAGUGAAGUUGACAAAGUUUUCAAAAUAGACAGAAUCAACGCUUCUUGUGAAAGUAUUAGAAAACUCCUUGCUUUUGAUGAUAUAUCGUUGUGCAAUCAGGCCUUCUGCCCUCCAUGUGUAGGCCGAAAAUCAUCAAUCACGGCAACAACUAACAACAAACGAAUACAUACCAUGCAGCUGGAUAUCUCUGCUGGCCUGGGUACCUAUCGGAACCCCCCUUCCUCAGUCUCCACUGUCCUGCACACCUCCACCGCCUCCAACAUCUCUGCAGGCACCUCCAGAAGAUCUGUCAUCUCUGCUGUCCUGGACACCUCCAUCAUCUCUGCUGCCCUGGCUACCUAUCGGAACUCCACCUCCUCUAUCGCCGCCUCAUCCAUCUCUGCUGGUCUGUACACCUCCAACAUCUCCACUUACUAUGGACUUACAUGAGGUGAGCACAGAUGUGAUUGGUGACCAGCCGGACGGUGUGCUGUCAAUGGGUUCAUAGAUGGCGUUAAAACAGUUGUCUUUCAUCUGCUCAAUAUUUUUUUUGUACAAGUAUUGGGAUGAGAUCUGCUAUGGCUGUCAGAUUAAUCAGCCCAGCAAGAAACAUCAUGAGUGGGUGUUGUCAAAGUAGUUCAAAUUUGCAGGGCUGGUAACUAUGAGUAGAAAGUUUAUUGAAAAAAACAAAACAAAUUGUAACCAUACCCUAUAUUUUUCUUUGUGUCAUGGGAAAUAGUUUGAGAGGGCUGUUUAGGGCUGCCAAAGUGAACGAUGUCACAAAGUACAAAAACAAAAGUGAAGUGAAGCCGUCUGAUGUCUGCAGAUUGAAAAAAAUUGAUGAAUGUAGUAAGAACUCAGUCUUGUGCAAGAGACUCACUGUAACAAUGAUGAUGAUGCAAAACUCAGUGUUGGAGACUUUUUGUGCAGUAAUUAUGCAUACCACGAAUGAUUUCAACGUGAUAAAACGCUGUACACUUUGUUUGUAGAUGCCAUAAGUCUGUAUGUUCAAGAACAACAGUAAAACCAGAAUUCCUGUUUUAGCUGAAACCUUGUAUGUGUUAAAAUAUUUUUCAUAGUCUUUGUGAUUAUUGCUUUGUGUGUGUAAUAUACAUUGAUGUAUGCAGAAAGAUGUUUUACUAUGAUUAGUACAAUGGUGAAAUAAAUAAAAAGACGUGACAAACACAA